CAGCCCCGCUGGAGCACCCUGCCCAAACUGCAGCAGCAGACCCGAGAGAGCCUAGUCAUCAGCAGCCCAGAAAAUGCUUCAUGGGGACGUUUGAGAGCACACUCAUUUCUCACAGCCCUGUCCACAACAUCAAGGAAGGUAUAGUCUUGGGAUAGUGCCUUAGAGGUUUAGCAUCUGAAGCAAAAGUUCUGGCUAUAGCAUUGUCAAGACUUUCUGUGUUAUAUACAACCUUCACAGACUGGAGAACAUAAUAAACCAGAUCUUGUGCUAGCUGCUUGUUCUGAGGUCCAUAAUUGCAAAGAUAUCUCUGCUAUCAUACACUGCCUGGAAAGCUCUUUGAAAGGGAGUCAUCAGUGCUGGAUCACCUGGCAAAACAGUAGAAAGAAGUACUUUGAAAAUCAUGUGAAUUUCAACACGUGACUCUUGAACUGGACAGUUGAAAGAUCACCUUGGCCUUAGUCUUCUCUAGCUGAAAGACAAUGUAAAGGCUGCUAUGGCCUAAGGAGCAUAACACAAUGUUGUAAGAGCUUAUUCUUUUCCCAGGAACCAAGACAGACCAGCUCAGCACAAUGGAAAUAUCUAAACCAACAGCAGUGGUGCUUAUAAAGCCUUAUGUCAGUUUUUUCAGCAUGACAAACAUUCCUAUCAAGCCAA